GCGGGUGUCGCCAAGUGGUAAGGCAGUACCUUCCCAAGGUACCAUUCCGUGGGUUCGAAUCCCAUCACCCGCU
rnacentral:tRNA from 1 species